GACGAACGCUGGCGGCGUGCUUAACACAUGCAAGUCGAACGGAAAGGCCCUGCUUUUGUGGGGUGCUCGAGUGGCGAACGGGUGAGUAACACGUGAGUAACCUGCCCUUGACUUUGGGAUAACUUCAGGAAACUGGGGCUAAUACCGGAUAGGAGCUCCUGCUGCAUGGUGGGGGUUGGAAAGUUUCGGCGGUUGGGGAUGGACUCGCGGCUUAUCAGCUUGUUGGUGGGGUAGUGGCUUACCAAGGCUUUGACGGGUAGCCGGCCUGAGAGGGUGACCGGCCCCAUUGGGACUGAGAUACGGGCCAGACUCCUACGGGAGGCAGCAGUGGGGAAUAGUGCACCAUGGGCGGAAGCCGGAUGCAGCAACGCCGCGUGCGGUAUGACGGCCUUCGGGUUGUAAACCGCUUUCGCCGGGGACGAAGAGUGAGUGACGGUAAUGGGUAAAGAAGCACCGGCUAACUACGUG
rnacentral:rRNA from 1 species